rnacentral:lncRNA from 1 species
UGGAAAUGGACCAAAGAAACUGCCAACAGCUCUUUCUGUGUCUAAUACCCAUCACACAAUGCAACAUUGUUUGUCAAGCUGUUGGGUUCUUUAUCUGGGUGGGCCUUGGAAGUUAAAUAUAUGUAAAUACAUUAUCUAACUAUCUAUCUGUAUAUAUGCAUGCUAUAUGUAUAUAUAUAUUAUCUUUACAUAAUGUUUUAAUAUGUAGAUGAGGCUAGUGGAAGAUAAUUUCUCAAUUCCCUGUAAUAUGAGGAUAAUAUUAAUUCAUACUGCAAAGGCUAGAAUGAUACAAUGGAUUAAUGCAUGGAAUAACUUAGUACCAGUAUAUAGCUCAAUAUGCUUUUACUACCAUUAUUAAGCAUUAUAGAUGUAAACUUAUGUUUUUGGUUACCCUAAAACUCAUUUUAUAGAGCUUGGCCCCUCUCUUGCCUUGCUUUGGCUUUUUUUGGUGGUAUUUAUCUGUAAACUCUAUUUAGCAUAUAUUUCAGGGACACAUGUUGAUGGUGGAGGUAACUGAUCUACCUGAGUAUUCAGAUCUAUCUGCCAACACUGAGAAGAAAACCGAGGAGGGCUGCAACGUGGCUGUCAUGUGUUCCAGGUUCUGGGAUGUGCUCCAUGUGUCUUCUCCUUCUGGAUCUCAGGCUAAAGAAGCAGCCCCACUCUGGGCCAUCCCUGUCCUCACAGCAGAGGGGAAGAGUGAGCAGCUGAACCAAAACCACACCGUCACAUUUAAAGCAUUAGCUUGGACAGAUGGAACAUCUGCUCAUAUUCCAUUGCUCAGCACAAGUCACUCGGCCAAGCCCAACAUUGCUAUGGCAGGGAUGUGUACCCCACCCAGGGCAGAAGGGGAGAGUUAUCUACCAUAAUCUCCAGCAACAUUUGGUGUAUCCAUCCUUUCUAACUUUUCAAGAGGCAAGGACAUGUGCAUAUACACACAAAAUAUACUUUCUAAAAAUGGGAUGAUUCGUGCUAUAAAAUUACUUGCCUAAAUGCUUUUUUUUGAUGGACAGUUUUAUAAGUCAAUAUGUAUUCUUACAUCUGCAUUUUGAUUGGAUACAUAAUAUUCCACUUUAUAGAUAUGCAUGGACAUCCUUGUGCAUAUAUCUUUGAACACAUAAUUAAGAUCCAUUACUACAAGUAGAAUUACUGGGGCAUUCAGAUCUCACAUUUUCAAGGCUUCUGGUGAAUAUUACAAUUUACACUCCUAAAAAUGACAAUCCUCACUUAAAAUAAAAAUGUAUUGACUUUUCA